rnacentral:sRNA from 1 species
ACUUGAGGGCAGCAAGUAGCUGCAGCUGGAGGUAGCUGCCUAUCUGAUUCUGUUUGAGAGUCCGCCAAGUUGGGAUUUAAAUUAGACAUCAAGAAGAAUUUACAGACCGGCCUUGCCUUGUUCCACGGUCACGAUGAGGGCCCAGGCUCUGGAUGGGCUGCCAAAGGGACCGUGCGGGGCUGGAACCGGAGAGCCCGAGAGAGCCCUGGGCAGGUGUCAGAGCCGGACAGGACCCAGCUGAGCCAGGACCUGGGUGGGGGCACCCUGGCCAUGGACACGCUGCCAGAUAACAGGACCAGGGUGGUGGAGGACAACCACAGCUAUUAUGUGUCCCGUCUCUAUGGCCCCAGCGAGCCCCACAGCCGGGAACUGUGGGUAGAUGUGGCCGAGGCCAACCGGAGCCAAGUGAAGAUCCACACAAUACUCUCCAACACCCACCGGCAGGCUUCGAGAGUGGUCUUGUCCUUUGAUUUCCCUUUCUACGGGCAUCCUCUGCGGCAGAUCACCAUAGCAACUGGAGGAGGGGGGUCAGUGGACGUCAGAGCAUCCCCCUUGCAUUAGCUGA